AUGAGUCGACCUGAUGGGAUCAACAUCCCCGACAGCAAGUUCUACCUUGGAGAUGCUGGCUAUGCAUGUCGGACGGGUAUUCUUCCACCCUUCAGGAAAACAAGGUACCAUCUCAACGAGUUCUCUGGUAGGAAAUUUCCUAGGACUGCACAGGAGUUGUUUAAUCUCAGACACUCCAGCCUUAGAGUAACUGUUGAGAGGGCAUUUGGAGCUCUGAAGAAUAGGUUUAAGAUCCUGGGUCAGAAGCCAUUCCACCCAUACUCCACUCAGGUUAAGCUAGUUCUUGCUUGUUGCAUUCUGCAUAACUGGAUCCUCCAGUGGGGCUUUGAUGAACACGUGCCUGAGGAGGAAGAGGUCGAGCCUGACGAUGUUGUUAGCUCUGGCCAUGGUGUGAAGGCAUUUGACAAUGAUGCUUGGAAGAACAAAAGGUUGGAGUGA
rnacentral:rRNA from 1 species